rnacentral:lncRNA from 1 species
CGGAAAUAUAAAAACGCAAAAUUUCUUCUCUUUUCUUUUGGAUUUUUGAUUUAUAACACAUUUUCCGAAUACAAAAUAGGAAAAUACAAUAACAAAAGACUCGUCAAACUUAACUAGACUAUGACAAACUCUAACAUCACCUAAAAGACUCGACAUUACUGUACAAAACUAGAAGGUGAAAGAUGACAUAAAAACAAUAGACUCAAAACAUAAUAACUAAAAAAAUCUCCUUAAGCAAACUCCUGAAUAAGCGACCCUGAUUGGAUGGUCCUGGGGUGUCUGUCAUGCCCAAAUUCCGAUAAGUAAGUCCACACCUGUAUGAAAAAAUUAAGACCAAAUAAAGUUAAAGACCUAGAACGCUAUGUGAGACAAUAACCCUUCAUGUUGGACACAUGCAAGACAUGAUUGUGACUAUUUUUCUAAAAUUAACCUAUGUGACUAAAAGUGGCUAAAAAUGCAAGAUUUGGCUAAGACCCUGCGAAGCCAAGAACCUAAGACUCAGUAGGAAGACCGGACCCUAUGUGGGUUUCCUACGUAUCACGCCCCGAAAGACAAGAAUCAGGUAUGCGUUGUUCGGGUAGAUUGGAUACGGGCGAGAAAUCAAAAAAAACAACUAAUUUAGAGAAAAUAUUUUUUUUGUCUUCUUUUUUUUCGUGAAAAAUGAUGAAACAUGUAAACUCUUUUUGAAUUUUCUUUUUCCUCUUUUUUAAUUUUUUUUUUAGGAAAAUAAUGGGAAAGUGCAAAAUCUUUUUGGGUUUUUCAUUUUUUUGUCUUUUUCUUAAAAAAAAUGUGAAAAGUGAAGUAAAAACAUAACUGGGCCCUACUUGCUUUAUUUUUUACACUUCACCCUCUUUUUUUCUCAUUUAUCCUCAAAUCUCAUUGGUCCGCCAAAUGACCCCUUUUACCCUUGAAAAUUGCAACAUCUAGCACAUAAGAUGCAAUAGGUAGCCUUUUAUUUUUGGGGUACACCUGUCCUAGAUGGACCCAACCCCUGUGUUGAGUCCCCUAAGUCAAAUGCACGUGAUGCAAACAAACAUUCCUCCUGGGGAUCCGGCAUGAAGCUAAGUUAUUCUAGGUUUGAAAACCUAGGUUUAUUUGUUCUAGACCUGGCUUAUCCGAGCGGACAACUCAAGCCGAGGGGGGUAGCGUACCGGGAAUACAGAAGCUUCACCAGCUUCGCAACUUGUCUGAACCUCGUUCUAAAAUUAGGAUAUGACUCUAACAGAAGAGAAGUCACACGAAGUGUACACUUCCCAGAUGAUUUAGAAGACUCAGAGAGAUGAGGGUUUUGUAACAGUUCAUAUACAAUUCAAACAAUAACAAAGCGGCAAAAAGCGGCAAUUAGCACAUUAGGCUCAAACAUAUAAAAAUCAGAUAAUAAAUAAAGGCCAACUAUAACAGUUAUUCUAAGCUUGAAUUCGGAACCCUGAACCAGAGGUUCUGGGUUAAUUUCCCAAGCAGAGUCGCCAGAGCUGUCACACCUCCUUUUUACCGCCUCUGGAAGGGGUAUAUGGGAGUUUUUUCAAUUAAAGUGACAAUCGAAACGUGAUUAUUUUUUAAGUUUCAGAGUCAACACUUGGGAUAAUUAUAUGGUGUCCCAAGUUACCAGUUUAAAAUCCCGAAUCGAGGAAAAGUUUGACUCCAUUUUAUAGUCUGCGAACACAGAAAUCCAGGUAAGGAAUUUUGUUAACCUGGGAGAAGGUGUUAGGCAUUCCUGGGUUCCGUGGUUUUAGCAAGGUCGCUCAACUGUUAAUAUUGGCCUAAUUACCUGAUUUAUUACACGUUUUAAACCUAUUGUGCAUUUUUAACUUUAUAACCACUUUUUAAUUAUUUUAAACCGCAUUUAGGAUUUAUCGAAUUAUUUCUUGAACAAGUUACGAUUGUCAUACACUUGUUCGCUUUGGAACACGCCGCGAACCACGCUACAUGAAAUGCACACGCGAUUCACGACAUGUGUAUUUUAUUAAUAUUCGAAGUUUUUAUGAUCGGGUUACAUGAAAUGCACCCCCGAAUCUACUAAUUCACGGGUAUGAAACUGAUGUAUCAAUAUAACAUAGUAAAUGUGACAAGACAGGAAGAUUUAAUCAUUUCCCUCAAACCUACACAGAGACGUUUCCCACCUCUAAGGAUUCAAAAAGACAUGAACUAUUAAUAUUUCGUAGUACCUCAUCAACUCCAACUUUCAUUUGAACCCAUGGAAUAUUUCUUAUCCAUUUCUCCUAAGUAAUUCAGGAAUGAGCAAGUAAUGAAAGCUAAUAGGCAAGUAGCAGUUGCUAAGAUCACAAAUAUUAAUAACGAAAAUGGACAAUGCAUGAUCAACACAAAAUCAGAUGCUGAAAACCAGAUCACUUAAAAUUCUUUUAACUCAAAAUACUACCAUAUUGCUUCAGCGGCCAAAAGACUAUAUUUACUAUUCAAAACAAACAAACUAAAAUUCUACAUCAUAUCAAUCAACAAAGUAGUAAAAUUCUAAACAUGCUAGCUAUAUGAAUCAUCCACCGAUUUUGCUCACAAAUUACUCCACCAAAUAUUCUAAGAAUCUCAAGAGACCUACUAUAUUUAAAUCACACCCAAAUAAAGAUUAUAGCAGAGGGAAUUUUUUGCAACUACACUAAACUCAUCACAGCGCCGCUGUAGUUUAACAUUAGGUUGCUACAACUAGAAUAAGAUAGGAUGAUCAUACUCAAAGCUUAAAUUGAAGCCAACAAAAGGUUCGGUAGGCAACAUUUAUCCAUAGGCCAAAUCUUGAAAGAAAGAAUACUGAAUUGGACUAAUUCAUGUGGAAAACUUGUAGUAAUAUUUCACUACUCAAACAUCACAAUUAGAGACAAGAACAGGUGAACAUAGAACUCAUUCAAAUCUUCAAUUUACUUCAAUUAGAGACACAAAUAGGACAAUGAUCGUAUAUACUUUAGCACUCAAAGAUUCAUCCUAACAAACUUUCAUUUAACCACAACCAAGAAACAAAAUAGAAGUAGGAGUAAUCGAAAAGUACCUGUUAACCCAAAACUUCUUAGUAACAGUUGAAGAACCAACAAAUACACAAAUUCUAGUUCCGGAAAAUCAAUGAGAACCAAUAGCAAUAAUAAAAAACAUCAAACGGAACCACAAACUUGAACCUCCGGACCGACCUCGACUCAAUCACGCCAUGCUUGAAAAACCAAAAAAUCAAAAUUGGAAGCGGGCUGUUGGUUCUGGGUUGAAGAGGAUGGGUAGUGCAACGGUUUUUCCGGCGGGUUAACGACGGCUCAAGAUGAAGAAGAAGAAAUGAGGUCAUUCAUUUUUGGGGAGGGUUCAGUCGCUGCGCUUUUUGUGUCUGUACCGUUGUUAGGUUGGGUGCUGCUAUGGAGGAUUUAUAGGUGUGUUUUAGGUUGUGUCUUGUGAAGAUCAAGGAGAGGGGUCCGCCGAUGUGUGUGUCAUUCACGAUCAGAAAACGACUGCUCCUUCUCUUUGUGAAGUUGUUCUGUAUUCUUCCAAACUAAGGGGGAAAAUCCGUUGGUCUCAUGAAUAGGGGCUACUGGUCCAGCUUGAAGAGGAGAUUUUGGGGUGAAGUCUGUUGUUAGAAUGGAGAAGACGAAGUUCGGAGAGGGGGUUCGAAGAAGAUGAUUUUCAAGGGAUGGGGUUCUUGGUGUAAACGACGGAUUCUUUUGUGUGUUCCCUU